rnacentral:misc_RNA from 1 species
UUUGUUUUUUUUUUUUUUAAUCUUUCAUUUGUUUUUAGGGUUUUUUGCAAUUUCCCAAUCUAAAAAACUUUUCAUAUGAAAAUUUGUUGUCCCAGGUUCGAGCAGGUUCUACCCUCAAAUUUUAUGGUCAUUUUGGGGUUAACGUAAGUUCAAUCAGGCCUUCAAGUCAAAAAUUGCCACCUGUAAUACUUGAUAACUUAGAAUCAAAGAAGUAAAGAUUGAUACAACUCUCUUAAUCAUUUAGAAAAACAGAAGAUUUUGGGUGGAACCUUCGCCCAAAUGUGGGGUAAGUGUUGGGAGCUAGUUGCCAUGGCACAGGAAAAGAGACUUGGUUUCCAAUCAAUUAUACUGCCACAGAAUUCUACGCAUAGAAAAGUCAUAGUUGAUAAAAUCUUCAUGUUACAAUAUAUUUUAGUAACAAAGUAACAAACAAGUCCACUAAGGGACAACCCAACAAUAAAGGAUGUGAUCUCCACUAGAAGUUUCAAGUUAGAAUUCCCCUAAGUG